AACGAACGCUGGCGGCAGGCCUAACACAUGCAAGUCGAGCGAACCCUUCGGGGUUAGCGGCGGACGGGUUAGUAACGCGUGGGAAUAUACCCUUUGGUACGGAAUAGCCUCGGGAAACUGAGAGUAAUACCGUAUGUGCCCUUCGGGGAAAGAUUAUCGCCAAAGGAUUAGCCCGCGUUGGAUUAGAUAGUUGGUGGGGUAAUGGCCUACCAAGUCUACGAUCCAUAGCUGGUUUGAGAGGAUGAUCAGCAACACUGGGACUGAGACACGGCCCAGACUCCUACGGGAGGCAGCAGUGGGGAAUCUUAGACAAUGGGCGCAAGCCUGAUCUAGCCAUGCCGCGUGGACGAUGAAGGCCUUAGGGUUGUAAAGUCCUUUUCAGAUGGGAAGAUAAUGACGGUACCAUCAGAAGAAGCCCGGCUAACUCCGUG
rnacentral:rRNA from 1 species